rnacentral:lncRNA from 1 species
AUGUUUUAUAUGUUUUGACUUACUGUCUCUUCAAUUACAUUAUAUAAAAUUCAGCAGGCUUCUCCAUGAUCACUAGGGAAAUGAAUGAUUUUCCUGUCAUAAAUCACAAAUACACAAACUAGAGGAGGAUUGUAAUUGACAGGUACCCAUAGACAGUUUAUUUAUAUUCUCCAAGAGGACUCACAAAGAUGUAGUGUCCACUGUAUAUUCAGAAAAAUAUAUUCUUAAGUAAAAUUAUCCUGACACUGGCUGCUGUGGCUAAGCAUCUUAAAAAUUUCCUGGAGUUCUCAUCAUAGCUUGGCAAUAACAAACCCAACUAGUAUCUAUGAGGAUGCGGGUUUGAUCCUUGGCCUCGCUCAGGGGUUAAGGAUCCGGCCUUGAUGUGAGCUCUGGUUUAGGUCACAGACCUGGCUUACAUCUGGCAUUGCUGUGGCUGUGGUGUGGGCCAGCAGCUGCAGCUUCAAUUCAACCCCUAGCCUGGGAACUGCCAUAUACCAUGUGUGUAGCUCUAAAAAGAAAAAAAAAGAAAAAAGAAAAAAAAAAUCUGGUGUUGCCACAGAUUCAAUUCCUGGCCUGGGAACUUCCAUACGCCAUGGGUGAAGCCAUUAAAAAAAAAAAAAAAUCUUAACUGCUAACUUUGCUAAGUUUAGCAAACUAACUGGGUGUCCCAACCAUGACUGUAAGAUAAAGAAAUAUGUUCACGUACGUGCAGACUCGCAGUUGAAUACACUGUUCAUGGCGUUCCAGUUCAGGGCAACCUGAAGAUGAUUUGGAGGUAUUAUGACCACCUUGACUUUUAUUCCAGAAAAUUUCACCUGAGAAGGUACAUUCCUGGCAUGCAGUAAAACCCCACACUUUGUUAUAUAAUACAUUUUGUGAUUUACAUUUGUAUCAUUUAUUCAAUAAAUCUAAUAAACACUGCAGUGUUGGAUAAUAAGUAAAUUUAGUUUUACGAGUAGAAGAGUGCAUGCCUGAUCUAUCAUGUUAAAAAGUGAACCACUGAACUGUGGAUCCGGAUGUGGGUCUUGGGGGAGCCUCCCCAUGCCUCUUGCUUGUCAUCUCCCAGCUCCAUCCACACAUUCUUUUUUCUCAGCCUUACCCCUUUGAUCAGGAACAAGCACUCUGCGGAAAGAAAUCUUGAGGAAUUGUGAUAUAACUGCCUUUAGGAUGAGAUCUCUGAUAGCAUCAUGGGUGGAUUUAGUAAAAUCUAGAAUUUUGCCCAAACACGAAAAUACUUUCAGGGUCCAUUCCUGAAUAUUGCUAUUGUCUUCAGGUUUUCCUUCUGGGAUAGGGUUUUGGUUUUAAAUACAUUCCAGUGGGUCUAAGUGCAUUGGCUAGGAAAGAUUUCCUCAGUUGACCUGGUUACAGUGGAAAUGAUCCAGUCCCCCAGCCCCUCGUUUUUCUCUAUUUUAAAACCAGAGAUGAAUAGCCUGCUGUCCCCUCCACCCCUUGAGGACAGGUCCUGUCAACACAAAAGCAGCUGUGGGGUUAGAUUUGGGGAGCAGCUUGGAUGGUAACAAAAUGAGAUCUAUGUUUUUCUUUUAAGUGACACAUGGACAGUUUCAUAAAUUAGGUUACCAACUUCAUAUUCUGUAUUCUGUUCACCUAAGAGGAGAACGUUUUUGCUCCAAGAGCCUGUUGAAAUAAAAUUGCCUUUGGAAUAUUUCCUUCUUCUCUGAGGAUACGUGCCCUUCUCCAGUCCAUGUCCCCGGCUCCCAGGACCUUGUGUAGUGAAUGAAUUCCUCUGUCGUUGUGUCUCUGUGGUGUCGAGUGGAAGUUGGGCCCCUGCACUGGGGAAGCCUGUGGCGGGGUGGGGGCAGAACAUGUUAUUCUCUAGGGCGGAGGCGGGGAGUCAAUGGCUCUAGCCCAGUUAGAGGCUACACCUCCCCUCUGCUUUUUCCCUUCCCGGGAGCUGUUGAGGCCAAGUGUGGCUGCCAAGCGGAAUCCCAGAAAGCCCCAAGAGCCCCAGAGGGUCAGAGCUUCCUGGAGGCUGCCACACGCACGUCAAUCCCCCAGGAAGUGCGUGAGGACCAGUGGGAAGAGGACCGCCAGCCAGGUGAGCAACCACAUCAGUCUGAGGGCUAGAGCAACAGGAAAGGAUCCUUGGCAGUUCUGUUUUUAUUUGGCAAGAUGGGGCUAUGACCUGAGCUUACACUGAAUUACCUCACAGUGGAUUAUUUUUUUGCCAAGCCCUAUAAAUGUUAGGGUGACUCCACUGAGUGCUCGGGCUGAGGACAGAUGCAUGCAUCAAAGGUGAUGGAUUCCUUUCCAGGUGUGCCUGGGGGAUUGUUCCCCUUCUUUUAUUAUUUUUUUUUAUUUUUAUUUUUUUGUCUUUUUUUUUUUUUUUUUUUUUUCCUUCGCCUUUUCUAGGCCUGCACCCAUGGCAUAUGGAGGUUCCCAGGCUAGGGGUCAAAUGGGAGCUGUAGCCACCAGCCUACGCCAGAGCCACAGCAAUGAGGGAUCUGAGCCGUGUCUGUAACCUACACCACAGCUCAUGACAACGCCAGAUCCUUAACCCACUGAGCGAGGCCAGGCAUUGAACCCGCAACCUCAUGGUUCUUAGUUGGAUUCGUUAACCACUGAGUCACGACAGGAACUCCAGUUCUCCUUCUUUUAGAAAGGGGUUAAAUCUCAGCUUUUUUCUGCCUUCAGAGGAGGUUCUUUUGUGCAAAGCCAAUAGGAGAGCUUUCACAGAGUCUCCUGGUUUGGGGAUGUAUCGUUGUGGAUGUGUUUGUGUUUGUUGGUGGGGUGUGUGUCUCUUUCCAUAAGAGGUGGCCGAGGCUGUCUUUCCUCUUUAUAAAAGUAAAUCUUACUAUGUUUUUGCUAUGUUUGUAUGCAUAUGUUUUGCAGCUACCGUCUAGGUGAGUUGAGUCAGACUAUGCUAUUUUUACUCUUUUAACAUUUUAGUAACGAAAUCACUGGUUGAAGCCUUCUGCAAAGUUUUUGCUGCAACAGGAUUUAUCAGGAUUCCAUUGUGAUUCUAAAUUAGUUGUUCAUGUCUGUCCCUGGUCUUCCUCUUCCUUUAUGUUUAAUGUUACUCUUAUGUGGCAAGAAGGGAUUUUAAUGACAGCAAGAUGUCCUUUAGAAACGCCUUCUGCUCUACUCCUCCAAAAAACCACACAGAAUGUCAACAGGGGAGUUGAAUCCCUAAAACACUCACAGGCACAGAUAGUAACAUCCUCACUCCUGACAUUGUGAGCUGGAUAAUUCUGUAUUGUAGGAUUUUUUCCCUUUGUAUUGUAGAAUGUGGUAGCACCCCGGGGCCGCUACCCACUCAUUGCCAGUAGCGCUCCCCUCCCGCAGUGGGCAACCACAAAAGUACCUCGGAGAACACAGUGAUUCCCAGUUGGGAACCACCGCACUAGGGACAUAUUUUAGUAAGGAAAAGAAAGUGAAGAAAAUCCUGCAGAUGUAGAACAUGGAGCUGUUGAAUUUUUUUUUCCUUUUAAACACAGUACCUGUGUGGCUCCGAAGAAAGUACCUCUCUAGCAGAUGCGAUCUGCCAGUCAGAGUCCUACCUCACCAGGAAUUAUCUACCCAUUAGUGACUGGAAAUUGGUUUAGAUUAAUGCAGCAGUGGCAACUCACUUAGAACAGGUAUCGAUUUUGGUGCUCUCCUUAUCCACCAAGGAGCUUCCGGGUAUUUAUACGUCAUGCAGUACUUUCUUUGAAGGGGACACCCUUACCUCUGGGCGCUUUCAGAGGGCUGGCUUCUUGGUGAAUAAGGUUCAAAUGUGGCUCCCGUAAAACUGGAACUCAGUGCAUGAAUCAGAUGACAGAACACGCCCCCUUCUACACUUUAAUUCCAUUUUAUGCACAGGAGGUCAGAUACACAAUUUAAAGACAGGUCACACUCAAUUUGCCGUCUUCUCUUUUGCUGAACUUGUCCAGAAUAUUGCAUUCUUUCUGUACAGGACAGUAAGUCACUUGUUCUGUUCUCAAUCUACCCUCCAAAUUUCCUUCUCCCUCUGUAUUAGAAUGUUAGAGCUGCCAGACAGGUAGAAUCAUGUCUCCACUGUGAUUUUACUUUAAAUGUCCUGCUGUCAUUAUUUCAAACAUUUUUUUCCCUCUUUAUUUUCUCUUCACAUGAGCAUACAUGUUUGCCAGGCACGUUCUUGCUUUUCUUUUUUCUCUUAUUUUCCGUCCCUCCUGCCCUUGUUUUCUCUCCUUCUCUCUGACUGUGGAAACUGUCAGGUGGCCUGGCUGGCAUCCUCUUACCUUUUGGGGAACUGUGCUACCCAGAGACCUCCGUUUAUUAUGCCUCGGGCGCUCUUUCUUUAAUGCUGCGUCUCUCUGAGGGAUAGUUAAUGAUCUUUGCAGCAAAUGAAGGUGAACUGUAGCUGCAUUAUUGUUAUAAUACAGCCAACUGUACGGAACAGAUUGGGCUGAGCUUUGAACAGCUGGGGCUGGCAGAGUGAGUCUUGACUCCUCUCGGAACAGUUCCAGAACCGCCAAAUCAUCAAACUUGAAGGGGAAAGAGGGACAAGAAAGGUUAUAGGGAGAGUGGUUCCUGCAGGUGCUUUUUUGCCUUUGCGAUCUACCUUUUUGAAAUUUUCACGGGUUUGUCGAUCUGGCAAAGCACAGACUAAUUGAACCCAGGGGCUGCUGUCACUGCUCUUGGACUUGCCUGCUUAGUGGCUGGGAUGGUAUUUUAUUGUUCAUUUGCAGGUACCGAGCCUGUCCUAGAUAGAUGCUUCUGUUAAAGCGUGUACCCCUCUUUAGUCCACCGAAACUGUGUGUAGUUUUAAGGAGAGGUUUGAUUUGCAAAGUGUACAGAAGCCAUAGAAAUGAAUAAAGGCCCCGUUGGAACUUUUGGACUCGGGCUGUAUUGUGGCUUCCUGGUGGAUAUAAUAAAUGGGCAUCACUAUGGGAGAUACUACAAACUGGUGGCCCACAGAGCCAGAUCCAGCCCUCUAGCCCUCAAAGAUGUUUGUCUGUACAAGGAAGUGUGUGUGUGUGUGUGUGUGUGUGUGUGUGUGUGUUGUGUUGUGUUUAAGGAACUAGCUGCUCAUAUUUUUAAAAAUUACCUAAAAAUCUGGUUAAUCUUGCCAAAGAAGGUAAAAGAUUUGACUUCUCUAGAACUAUAAUCUCCCCUGGUAAAUGCCAGCUGAAGCUGAGGAAGAGCUACCUGCUACCUGCCUUGAGGGGGCAAGGCAGAGGCUUUGCUUUGCAGCUCACCAGAGUCCUCACCUAGCACCCACGCCCUUAGUUCUUGACGGGAGUCUGUAGGGGAAGAUCAGGAGAGAGCAGGCCAGGGCUUUGGGAUGGAGAAGAAUUGGGUUUCACUUCUAGCUUCACUGCCAGCUUUGUCUUUUGGGGUAAGUUCCUUAGCUUUCUGAGUCUCUCUUUCCCUGUGUAUAAAGUGGGAAUAUGAUUCUUUACCUUAGGAUUGUUGGAAAGAACUUUAAGUGAGAUAGGAUAUUUGACACUCUUUCAAAAGAGCUACGUCCAGGCCUAGUAGGAUGGUAUACGCAUUAGCUCGCAUUGUCAUUUUCAGCUGCUCUGUAUCAGAGUGACUGGAGACCAGUUGUUGAGAGUCGUAUUGACUGUGUUAUAAAAUGAGAUAGACACUUGCAUUACUCAGGACCAUGAGGGGAGUGUCUGGGCUUCCUGUAUUUCUGUUUCGGUCCUGCAACAGAGAAUUUACAUUGUCUCUAGGGGGAAAUGAUACAGUAGAGACUGAGUUCUUAGGGGUGGCGUUACUUACAGAGAGAAAAGGCUUAUAAUUUAGUUCACAUUAGGUAGACCGUGGGUUCGCUCUUGACUGGUCUAACCUCCUGAAGCUUCUGUCUCCCCAUCCCUAUCCUCAUAGAGAUAACAUUCAAAUCAGGUUCAUGACAGCUCUGAGUACUGAAGGUGCCCAGAAGCUUCAUGGAAGGAAAGGUUCAGAAAUGAGAGCACCGCGUCGGUUGAUACGGUUUCUUAAAAGUGGGAGUUGACUUUAGGCUUUGUUAGGCUUGUAAUCUAGGAAAGACAGUUUAUCAGCACUUUGGGCUCACUGAUUCUUUGACAUUUCAAAGGACUUUUUCUACAUUAUUGCACUCAGUUGGUGUCUUUUCUCUCUAGCCCCCGACCUUUGAUCUAUUAGAAGCUUCCAGCACGCAUUUGACGGCCACAUUAGGUGGGCUUCCUGGUUAUUAUAUAUGCAGUGUACAAGUACAGGUUCCCCCCCCCCCCAGUUUUUCUACUUCCUGUAGAGACGGAUUUCCUUUAGGUGUGGAUAUUUCACUUAAACACAUACUCCGAUUUCAAAAUGGUAAGGGACACCAGUGCAGUAAUUUUAGUGUACUUUGUGAAGGUAUCUGGAAAAGUCUGCUGUGUUCCAGUGAAAAGCUUCUUAGAAGGAAGCUAGGGGGCUAGCAAAUGUCAAGGCAGGUCUAGGACCCAUGGGAGGAAAUUUGCAUAAAAAACUUUGUCAGUAGUUCAGCUAUAGAGUUCAGAAUUCAGGCUGUGUCCUGUGUACGACCAGUUACGUUUUCAUGUCCUGUCUUAAAUCUUAGAUGAGUCAAUGUCAUCAUUACGAUAGAUGGUCCCAGAACAAAAGGCAUGAAUGAAGAAAGCAUAAUGUUUAGAGCCUUACUUUUAAACGUUGUCUGAAUGGACAUGUAGGUCUACCUCUGGACCUUGAAAUUAGGCCCAAACCCAGAUCUGGGCCCAGAAGAUUACUCAAGCCCCUUCUCAUUCCUGCCUCCAUCUGACAUUGUUCAGGGAAAGAGGGAAGGAGGUAGAGGAAGACAAUGGGAGAAUUUAGAAAAUGAAUAUUCUCUACACUUUAUAAAUCUCUGUCUAAAUCACUGAAAACAUUGUGGUAUGUUUAUUUAUUUAUUUUUUUAAUUUUUCUUCUUUGGGCCACACCUGUGGCAUAUGGAAGUUCCCAGGUCAGGGAUGGAAUCUGAGCCGCCGCUGUGACCUGUGCCACAGCUGCAGCAAGGCUGGAUCCUUAACGCAUUGUGCCACAGUGGGAACUGUGAGGUGUGUUUAAAUCUAGGGAAACAGUGCAGUUGAUCCAUAUGAAGUCAUCAGUAUUUUAGUUCUACAAAGAGGGUAGUUUUGCGUAGUUCAACUGAUUUUAAUUAGUACAUUUUUUGCUAGAAUUUCUAUAGGUCCCCUAGCUGGGUGUAGGAAGUGGUUUUAAGCCAGAAAUGUUUUGGCAUCCAAUCGGUGAUUAUUUUGCAUGAAUUUUGCUAGGCUACACAGGUAUUUUCUGAAAUAUUUCUCAGGCAUUUUUUUCUGAAAUUAGAGUUGGUGCCUCAGAUCUCAUAGUAGAGGAGACGGAAGGUGCAGCAGUGUGAGGGGGCCGAUCCAAUGGGGUCUCAUCAUUCAUAAUGAUGACCCCUCUGGGUUUAGUUGUGAGGCCUCAAAGCUUUUGACCUUCGCUGGUUUCAUGUUUGUUUUGUUUUCAAAGUAAGAAAUGGAUGUGAAAGCAUGAAAAGCUCUGCACACAGACAUGAUAUGUUACAUGUCCAUGUUAGCGUGGACUGACCCUUGUUGAAAGUUGUGAAGUUUGCUCAAGAACGCAUCCCCCCCAACCCUGCUUCUAUUUUUGUGAGUCAGAAUGAGUCCAUGAAAACACAUUCACUUAGACAAGAAAAAUGAAAAGUACCUGAGAAAGCCUGGAGGUAGUGAAAUCAAUGGUCCCACGUGGGUGGCAUUGGGCUGGCGUGUGGAUGUGUAUGUAUGCACGAUUCUUGGGGGAGGCUGGUUCCGACUGAAAGAGACAGAUGCUUCCUGGUUUUCAAAGCCUCUUUUUUUUUUUUUUUUUUUUUUUUCCCUGCUGUUUUAUUUUAAGGCGGGUUGCCUUUCGGGUCUGUCAGUGAGGGCGUGGUGAGCCUCCAGGCACUUGCACCCACCUCUGUAACUUGUCCUUUGCUUAGUAUCGAGUGGAAGUGCGAAGCACCACAAACUGCUUUGAGCAGAGCCCACUUCCCUUCACCCACAGAGACCGUGAAGCAGUUACACCAACAUCAAUCAAGGAAAACCCACAGGCUGAACUCACACCGUUGAAGCAGGCACGUAACACUGCAGUGCUGAUCUUGGGGGACCUG